rnacentral:rRNA from 1 species
UAGAUGCUAGUCUCUGAGAUUAAGCCAUGCAUGUUUAUGUAACAAGGACGAACAGCUCAGUAGAACUGCGAUGAUUUAGUCUGUGUGACAGAGAUAACUACGUGAAAAUGUAGCUAAGAGAACACAGAAUAAGACGCAGGACUAUCAGUUAGUUGGCAGUGUAAUGGACUACCAAGACGAUGACGGGUAACGGGGAAUCAGGGUUUGAUACC